GAUUGUCGAUCAAUUGUUUUUCAGCUUUAGUGCGAAUAUAUUAGAUAAUCGACUAGUUUUUCAGGCUAGUCGAUUACCCAUACUGGAAAAUAAAAAUGUUAUUGAUAUUUGAGCAUAUUGAAGACAUUCUAAAGAACUACUGCUAGCAUUGCAUCAUGAACUAACUAAUACGAGCUAAUACUAAUGACUAUUAGUUUAUUCACUAACUAAUACAAAUAAGUAGAACAAAAUCAAAUAACUCCAUCUNNNN
rnacentral:lncRNA from 1 species